UACAGGGGGGGCAAGCGUUGUUCGGAAUUACUGGGCGUAAAGCGCGUGUAGGCGGCCAUCUAAGUCGGGCGUGAAAUGCCGGGGCUCAACCCCGGGACUGCGUCCGAUACUUCCGAGCUGGAGGUAGGUAGGGGAGAUCGGAAUUCCUGGUGUAGCGGUGAAAUGCGCAGAUAUCAGGAGGAACACCGGUGGCGAAGGCGGAUCUCUGGGCCUUACCUGACGCUGAGGCGCGAAAGCUAGGGGAGCGAACAGG
rnacentral:rRNA from 1 species